AAAUUGAAGAGUUUGAUCAUGGCUCAGAUUGAACGCUGGCGGCAGGCCUAACACAUGCAAGUCGAACGGUAACAGGAAUCAGCUUGCUGAUUCGCUGACGAGUGGCGGACGGGUGAGUAAUGUCUGGGAAACUGCCUGAUGGAGGGGGAUAACUACUGGAAACGGUAGCUAAUACCGCAUAAUGUCGCAAGACCAAAGAGGGGGACCUUCGGGCCUCUUGCCAUCGGAUGUGCCCAGAUGGGAUUAGCUUGUUG
rnacentral:rRNA from 1 species